CAAAACUAGUACUAGAUGGUCAUUGACUAUAAAUUUCCAAAAUACAAUCUAGGUGACCAAUUCUCUAAAUAUCCCAGCAACCACAGUAUUCCAGCAACAUUCGCUCACUGAUCAUUCCCCAACAGAAGAUCAUUAAAUCCAAUAUCGAACUGUAAAACAGCCUCAACCGUUCAUAUACUGCUUCAUGAACUAUACCUAAAUUUGACCCAAAAAAAAAAAAAAAAAAAAAAAAAAAAAAAAAACUAAAAAUAACCUAAAUAACAUGACAUUAUGAAUAAUGUCAAACAGGCCAAGAAACAGAAGUCAGAGGAGAGUAAUCUGCUUACCAUAAGUAUGUGAAUGUUAUUGAUCCAAUGUUAUGGACCUUUGCCGCAUCUUCUUCAUACAAAAUAGAAGAUGAAUAUUGUGGUACACACCAAAAAGUGCAUGCAAGGAAUCUUUAACUCUACCAUGCCAUACCAACGUCAAUGACAACAUCCACACACUAUCUUUAAUAGUUGUGCAUACAACACAAGCAACUAAUCCUGCAAUUUCAUCCUCCAGAUGAGAGAAUUAUCUUAGUGUCUAACUAUAAUGACUCAUACUCCAGGCAUUGGGAAUUGGGUGGUAAGAGCUUCAACUUUUGUCCGCAGAUCUGAAACUUGAUCAAUCAGAGGGAAUUCAGGGGUUGCAACAUACUUUAAAAACUCUUGUAGCUUUGAUGCUGGGGCUUUGUCUUUGGCAUCAAUUGCUAUCCGCACACCUUCAUGAAUGUAGUCUGCAGUUGCUAUGAAGUCUUUCUCAGUGAAUCCUCGUGUUGUCAUGGCAGGUGUUCCAAUGCGAAUUCCUCCAGGCAUUAGAGCACUUUUAUCACCUAUACAGAAGACGAUACAAAUUCAAAUAAAACCACAAUUAUGCAAACAAAAAAGAAUAUGACCUCAGCCCUCCAAAAACAAGGCUGUGGAAGGUCAGGCUCUUAGACUCACCAGGUACUGAAUUCUUGUUAAGGGUAAUAGAAGCCAUGUCGAGAAUUUUCUCCACCCGAGCACCAUCAAUGCCCUAUUAAUAAAGGAGAACAUCUUCAUACACCAAAAAGAAGACCAACUAGGAAUUGUUUAUGUUAAAAAAACAUCAACAAAAUUUUUUUUUACUAGCCAGACAAAAGCACACAGGGAAAAACAUGAAACAAGGGCACGAGCAUGUCAAAUUAGGUUUUAUGUUUUUGCAGUAGUGUUGAUUUGUCAGAUUUUUUGUCUUUUAUCUAGAACUUUUUAUUCUUUGGUGGAUGAAUCUCAUUGGUUAGAAGCAUUUGUUUUUUUUUUUGACUUUCUUUAUAAUUCAAAUAACAAACCCACUAAAAACCUCCAUGAACAGUACAAAAACCUUAGGAUUUUGGAAGGAACCACUUUCCCCCAUAUUUUCCCAUCAAUCAAGAAAGUGUUUCCUUUCCUUAUGCUUUCCCAAACACUGGAAAGGAACAAUUUUCCUUUCCUGAUGCUUACUUUCCAUGAAACAAAUGAGGCCUUUAAGUACACAGCAUGGUAUGUUGAACACUUAGAGAGCAGAACAACCUUGCCUUACACUUUUGCCUAUGAAUAUACUGAUGUAUGUGCCCACAUUCAGCACACGUUCUCAUACAAGGAACAAUCGAUAUGUAGCGAAGACUGCAAAACUAUAACAAAUAUACUUACAAAGGGUCGCAGAUCCACAAGAACCAGGUGAUUAUCGCUUCCACCAGAAACCAGCUUGUAUCCAAGUUCGAGCAAUCGGCUUGCAAGAGCCCUACAAUUAGAGACCACCUACAAGAGAGAAGCCAUAAUACAUUAGGAACAUGACUUGAACCAGUUUUCACAUCAAUACAAUAUAAUUGAAGUACCUGAUUCUGGUAAGCCUUAAAUUCUGGGGACUGAGCAUGCUUCAAGCAAACUGCAAGGCCCCCAAUAGUGUGGUUAUGAGGACCACCCUGCAUCAAGAAGCCGAGCCUUUUAUAUCCACAUUCAAAUAAUAAAUGUUGCUUGCAGAAAAAAUAACAAAUGAGUGGAACAAACCUGUAAACCUGGGAAAACUGCGUUGUUGAUCGCAGUUUCUAAAUCAACACCAAGAACUGGAUCCUUCCUGAAGAAUAUCAUUCCUCCUCUCGGACCCCUUAGAGACUGAAAAGCAAUGCAUGAAAUUAUUAGAACAUCCAAUCGUGGACAACAAAAAGUAAGCAGUUUUCUAUUUAUGUAUGAUUAUUCAUUGAGUCUAUCUAAUCUAGGAACAAAAUGAUACAUAAGCCUAUAAACAAGUCCACUACCAUAAACUUUUCAAUCUUGGAUUCAGUUGGUGAAAUAUAAAUACAUGAGAUUGAAAUAGACCUUGUGAGUUGUUGUAGUCACAAUAUCACAGUAUUCAAAAGGAUUGGCAACCACAGAAGCAGCAACAAGCCCACUUAUGUGAGCCAUAUCCAUCAUAAGAAAAGCACCAGCAGCAUCCGCAAUCUUCCAAUCCAAAUUAGAUAUAACUCAUCAGUUGACAAAGAAAAUCAGAGUAAAAUAUUUAAUGAAAUUCAUGUUAUGCACUGUAAAUGAAAUCAUUUAUAUGGAGUAAAGACAUCAGAAUCCAAACCUUCCUCAUGCGAGGAUAGUCAAAUUCUCGAGGAUAAGCACUUGCCCCGACAAUAAUGAGUUUUGGUCGAAAUAGUGUUGCUGUUUUCUCAAGCAUAUCAUAAUCAAUCAGACCUGGAUAUAUUUUAUUUUUUGGGGGGAAAGACCAAGAAUCCAAGAGAUUAAGUAUUUUAUCCUUAGUAUAUCAUAAAGAAAACAUAUUCUAAUGAGAAAUAUAAUGCAGAACCUGUGGAUUCAUCAAGUCGGUAUGGCAUGGACUCAAAAUAAAUAGAUGUUCCUGAUACACGUCUUUUAGGAGUCAUAAACCCAUGAGACAGAUGUCCACCGUGUGGCAAGUCCAAUCCCUAAGUCACAGUCACAUAUUGAUAAUUUAGUAUAAAGACAAACCACACUCGUACAAAGGGGAAAAAAAACAAAGGGAAACCUUACCAUGAUACGGUCAUGAGGGUUGAGAACUGCAGUAUAAACCUCAAAAUUAGCGGGAGAACCAGAUAAUGGUUGAACAUUGACGCCCCACUUCUUUCCGUCUAAGUGAAAUGCAUCGAGGGCCCUUUUUUGGCAUAGUGUUUCAAGCUCAUCGAUGUGCUCAUUUCCACCAUAGUACCUGAAAUGUGCAACUGACUUGUACAUCAACGGUAAAUAUUACAACUAAAGAUAUCAAUUGCAGUUCAUUACUCAGACUCAUGAAGAAGAACAUCACUCAAGCUGUGUACCUUUUCCCAGGUAAUCCUUCUGAAUACUUGUUUGUGAGACAUGAACCAACUGUCUCCAUUACUGCCCGAGAAGUGAAAUUCUCUGAGGCAAUAAGCUCGAGGCUUUUGAACUGCCGCUCUUUCUCCUUUUCUAUAAUGGCAAGCACCUCAGGGUCAGCCUCGCUUAAGGCAUUGUCUACAAAACUACUUCCAUUAUCUGCACGGAAAAUAAAAAAAUUGAAGAACAAGUCAGACACAAGUCCUGCUAGGAGUAAUAACAUAUUGUCAUGACUUGUACACAGCUCUCUAGAUAUCUUUACACAAAUGAUGCUUUUGCUUCUGAAGUGUGCUAAACAUGGUAAAAUAAAUACACACUGGCUAUGCAGAGCAUCGAAAUCAAGCAAGGCAAUGAGAGAGAAAGUGACCUGGCAUUAAAUCCUACUAUACCAGAAUUAAAAGUAUUCUACCAAACCUCAAUUAAAUUUCAAUAAGACCAUACAAGAACAGAUUAUAUUGAUGGUAAUUCAAUCUUUUAAGCAUAAUUACCUCCAAAUUUAGGCACCUGCACUGAAGCAGGAGAGGACGGCAUCCCGGUAACCAAGCUUCCUUGGAUGUUAGAAUAAGAUCUAGCCGUUUUUGCAAAAUUAAGGUUAACUUGAUGUGGAAAUCCACUAAUGCGCCCUCCAUUUGGAAAAGCUGCUCCUCUAAGCCAUGUGGGCUGUUGAACGGAACCCAUAACAGCAGAUCCAUUGCAUGCCUGCAUCUUGGCUAUACGUCACAAGCUUCCUAAAGAAAAUUUUAAACAGUUAGCAAAAGUAUAACUGGUGCCAAAUACUCACACAUAUAUAGAGACUCGCAAGCAAGAAAUGUGUGCUUUUUUGUCUUGGCAUUUUAGCAAGUUUUAAAAAAGAGCUUAAACGCAAAAUAUGAGAUUCUUUUCACUCUUGCAGUCCUACCAGAAGAUCGAUAAAAACACAUGAAUACAUGAUUAAAGCCACAAUUCCUCCUUUCAAGCAUAGCAGAAAAAUUCAAAACCCCAAUUCGAGACUGAAAGAUUAAAGAAGAACACUAACGACAAAAGACAUAGAAUCUAAUAGAUACACGGUAACAGAACCAAAAAACAUUAUCUGGUUUUUACUUGUGUUAUUGACAAGAUUGAGUUAAAGCCAAAGUGGCAAGAGAACCCAAUACAAACAAAACCAAACCAUAACAGAAGGAACAAAUGAAACAACAGAGAAACAAGUAAAAACAGAAAACUGUGUACCCUAUUCAAACAAGAGAAGAAACGAAGUGAGAACUUACACACUGAAUUAGAGGAAGUUGGGUGGUGGUAAACAAGGGAGGCGGCGAGUGUUUUGCUUUCUUUUUAUUCUGGGUUUGGUUUGGGGUUUUGAGGAGUUGUGACAGGUUAGUCCCGCCGAACCAUUAACUUGUUUUUUAUUCUAUUUUUCAUAUUCUAGGGCUAUUUUUGUCCGUCCAAACAAAAAUUUCGCCAACAACAAAGAUAACAAAGUUUAAUAGUAGUCUACGUCUUAUCGAAAUCCAGUCAUGUUCGAGAAUAAAAUAGGGCCCCGUUUGGAAAUGAAAUUUGGGUUCGUAUUGAAAGGGUUUAAAAAGCUGGUGAUGCGCUUAUGCCUAUGUGAAAAUAAUCAAACUCUUUUGAGCUUUUUUUAGGCUCCGUUUGUAACCAAACUCUCAUCAAACCUUCGAGAAGAAUAGUCCAGAUUCUCAAUUUCUCAUCAACAAUUCACAGUAAGUAUUAAAAAAAUUGAAAAAGAAAAGCAGAAAGUUGUCAUAGCCUUCAUACUUACAGUCACAGAGUUAGUUACUGUGAGUUGCCUGCUGUGGAACAGUGGAAGAGAUGGCUGAUGCGCGCCUGCGCUUGACGACUGUGGGCUGUGGCGGUGUGGCCCCGCUGCGCCUGACGCCUAGAAAUUUCAGAGAGUUAGAGAGAGAACCGAGAGGAGAGGAGAGGAGAGACGAGAGAGUCGGAGGCUCAGAGACUAAAGACGAUAGAGAGAGAUUCGACGAGAGAGUAUGUUUAUAAGCGUUGGGUCUAAUUAGUAAUUUACUGGGUAUAUCUAUGAAACCAUGGAUGACGACUAUGGUUGGGAUUAGUUUUGAUGAUUGUAUUUAUAAUUAUCAAUAUUCAAAUGCCCUCUCUCUAUUACUUUUGAUACUCUUUGUCUGGGAAGAAUUUUUUUUUUUUCCAUACUGUUCUGGAAAGAAGUUUGCUGGGUGUGUGAAUUGAGCCACAAUUUUUGUGGGAUUUCUUAAAGGGUAAAUUUAGAAUAUUUAACAUAAUUUGCUAGGAUUGAAUCUAUUAAGUAGUUUGCUGGAUACAUUUAGCAACACCUGUUUCUUUUCGUAUCCGGUUAGGGCCCUCUCUUUUUAUUUAUCACAGUGUGGUUUCCUUAGAGACUUUUCUUGUAAUUUUUCUUUUCUUUUUUUUGUUUUUUCCAAAAAAUAAUAAUAAUGGGUUAAUCCUAGAUUCCCAUGAGGGGAUUACUCCUCACCCCUAUAUUCAGCUUCAGUGGAUCUUCCUUCACCAAGACUCAACUUGAGGAAAUUUUGCCUUAGCAGGUUUAACUUUAUUCAGAUUUACCUAGAGCAGAUUUCGGCUCAUCCAAGUCCGCUUUUUGGGUUUCUCCUCACUUAGAUUCCUCUUGAGAAGAUUUUGAUGAUUUUCGUUGACAAGAAAAUACAAACAAUAUGUGAACAGAUGUGCAAACAAUAAACGACAAUUCAUAUAACUCAUUGCCGAAUCAAUUUUGUAAGAGAAAGUUCAAACUUGUCAAAUGAUCAUUAUUUUUGAAAUAGUUAGUUACAACUUUUAUAAAUUUAUGUAAAGCGAAGGUCUAAAAUAGUCAUUACAUAUUUUACCGUUAUCAUCUACAGAUAGACAAGUAGUUAUGAGAUAAGUCUCACAUAGUACAUAAAAUAGGCUAACAUUUAAUUGUAUUCACUCAUAGAGCCCUCUAGGGCCUAGUAUCCUAAAGGGUGAACCCACAAAAAAUUUAAACAAACUGAAGCAAAACUAGAAACAAAACAAGACUAAAAUAGUUAAUAGACUAGGGCCAAGAAACCCAAACCCAAAAGAUAGUGGGCCAAUGAUAGUGUGAAGCAGACCCAAUAACACAAGGCCCAUGAAGCAAAUAUGGACCAAGUCCACCAAUCUUCUCCAUUGUACGAUCUCUCUGAUCGGCUCUGAUGACUCAACCUUCACCACCAUAACCUGAAACGAGCCGCAACGCCACAAGUCCAAACCACCACGGAGAUCACCUUUGCUAAAAUCAGGCUCUUCCAUCACGCAAGAAUCUACAUCCACAGGUGAUUACCAGUCUAAAAUCGAGCACCCACCAUCUUCCUCUAACUUAGUCAAAUCUAAUUUAAACCUUGUGCAUAGAAUCAAACCCGGAGAAGUCCACGGACCAUUGCUUCUAGACCAAAUUUGAUCUAGACCUUGCUUCAAUACUCCCUGUCUGACAGCAAACGAAGAGCAAGGCCGAAGGCCGCUCCCGGCGCCGUCGAAAGAGACACGAAUGGACGAGAGGAUGAGUCACCGUCUCCUUAUGGUUUUGAGAGAGAGAUGUGUCAAAUGAUCAUUAUUUCAUUAAGCAAUAGUCCUUAUAAUUAAGUUGUCCAUGAUAAGUCUUUUGCAAGAAAAUUAAAGUUGUCACAUACAUGUUGACCGAAAACUGUUAGAAGCCGUCGCGUAAAUGAUUUUUAGAGAGGAAUUUCAAGUUGUCACAUAUACAUUAAACAACAAAGCGUUAAGAUCCUAACCUAAUUGACAAUUCACGAGAAAAAUUAAAGUUUUCACAUAAACAUUAACCAACAACUCGUGGAAGUCGUCACCUAAUUGAGGAAAUCAAUUUUACAUAAUUAUCAAGUGACAACCGGUAGAAGUUGCACUUUUUGUUUUUGUUUUUGAGAUACUGUAGAAGUUGCACUUAAUUUGUCUUUUGCAGCCUAGUACAAUUUGAUCUAGUAGCAUAAGUCUCUCUUUGCAAUUAAAGUUUUCACAUAAACAUUAACCAACAACUCGUGGAAGUCGUCACCUAAUUGAGGAAAUCAAUUUUACAUAAUUAUCAAGUGACAACCGGUAGAAGUUGCAUUUUUGUUUUUGUUUUUGAGAUACUGUAGAAGUUGCACUUAAUUUGUCUUUUGCAGCCUAGUACAAUUUGAUCUAGUAGCAUAAGUCUCUCUUUGUAAGUGAGAGGUCGUGAGUUCGACUCAAAAUAUUGUAACAUAUUACUUAUGCAUUUGAUCCAAAAAAAAUAAAAAAUUGUCUUUUGCAAGAAAAUUAAAGUUGUCACAUAAACUUUAACCAACAACACUCAUAAAUUUUGUCGUCUAAUUAGGUUUCAGUGAGCAAGUUCAGAUUUUCUCAUAAACAUUAAGUGACAACCCGUUAAAGUUGUUGCCCAAUUAAUUUAUUGCGAGGAAGUUAAGAUUGUCUAAUUAAAACAUUAACCGACAACUUGCAGAAUUUGUCUCUAAAUCAGUAUUCAACAACUAAAACCUAGUUGUCACAUAAAACAUUAAGCGACUAUCUGAGGAUGUCGUCGCCUAAUUAAUCUUUUUCGAGGAAGUCUAAGUUGUCAUGAAAAUGUUAACAGAUACUUCAAAAAAUAAAAAAUGUUUAUAGAAAAUUGGUAAAAGUUAUCGCAUAAUUGAUGAGGAAUUGGAUGUCGUAGAAUGUCGUAUAAGCAACAACUGCUAAUUUGUCGUAAAGACCUACUUUAUGAUGAAAAGCUUGUUGUCACUAAUGAUAUUAUCCUCAACAGAUGAAAUUUCUCGCAUUUGUCAAGAUUUUGUGACGAAUUUCGGAUUGUCACAAUGAACUACUCGCCUUUUAAUAUUUUUCUGUUGUAGUGAGAUAUACUAUUUCUCUUAUGAUCUUAUCCAUUGGAUAACCUUAUUUACCAAGCCAAAGGUAAUCUUGCCUAGAAAGGACAGGUUAAUCGUGCCCGGAAAAUACAUAAACAGAGGUAGAUGACGACAGAGAAGGAGAAGGUCAAGGUACAUGUGGCCACAUGAAAAAUAUUUGUAUUUCUUAAAGUCUAUACCGUUCAUGUAAUCUAACGGUUUGUUUUUAAAAGUCCUCAUUGAGUCCGCAAGUUUGCGGUCCGCAAUAGAACGGCCUCCUACUAAUAUAUAUUCCAUGAAAGAAAUAAUGUCAUUCAGGUGAGUGGUUUUAAUAAGCAAUCAAUGUUUCGACGAAAGUAUACAAAAGGACGAGACAUAGAGAAUAUGAACUCUUACCCUUAACUUCUCGUUAAGAACUAACCAUCGAUUCAUAACUGCAAACUGCAAACAGCAUUCACACACACAAGGCUAAUUAUAUCAUAGAUCUGACUCCUUUGGACUAAUUAGGAGUUUAGGACUACUUGAUUUUGAUUUAGCCAAUAGGAACUACUUGAUUGAACUAAUGAAACUUGAGUUGGAUUAGUAGGAAUAGUAGGAAUGCCUACUCUCUCUCUCAAUGGCUGCACGUCCUGCCAAGCAAAGUAAGAAUCAUUCACGGUUGUCCUCCCCCAGUUGGUUACUUACCUUAGUAGUUCUAAGCACGACUUUCUCCUUGGCUAUUCUCUUGCCGCGUCCCAGCUAAGCUACAAUCACACCUUAAUACUCACUCUCUAAUUUCUCUUUGUAUUUUUGCAACAAUAGAUAGUCACACCACUCCACUAAAUAGAGUUGAACUCAUUAAUCAAUUAGCUAGUUUGUAAUUUCAACUUUCAAACAUUUUGUAAGGAGCUACGUACUUGCCCUCUUUUGAAACAUGUAUUAAAUUAGGGAGGUCGAAAAAUAUGACAAUGUCGUAGAGGAGCGUAUAUUUGAAGGGUGCGUCAAGCUAUUUAAGGGCAUCAAGAACCAAAGACAAGACAUCCCAUUCUAAGUUUCAAUUUGUCAGAAACAUAGAUCGAGUAAUAACAGAGAAAAAGACGACGUUCUAACUCGAGUGAUAUAGUGAAGAUGGCGAUUCUGCAAGCUUUCUUGAUAGGCUUGUGCACCAUUGCUUUUUAUCAAAGUUCAGUUAAUGCAAAGUUUUCGAAGAGCAUGUACAUCACCUGGGGUCAGCAGCAUGCUGCAAUUCAAGGCAAUGGCGAAGAUGUCCAACUCGUGCUCGAUCAAACUUCAGGUUAGAGCUACUUGUUCCUUUGAUUUAGUGUGCAAAUGCAUAAAGGCAUUAUCGUAUAUGCAAUUCUUUAGGGAUUCAAUGAUGCAUUUUAAAUACACAGCAUUUGGGAUUUAUGAGUAAAAAUGUUAAUUGAAAACAUAAGGACGUGUGACACUAGGGCCAGCAUCUGCCAUGCACUAAUCAAACUACACUACCAUCUUUUGUUAUGCAGGAUCUGCUGUUCAAUCAAAGAGAGGUUUCUUAUUCGGAAGCAUUGAGAUGCUCAUUAAGUUGGUACCUAAUAAUUCUGCAGGCACAGUAACAGCUUUCUAUGUAAGUUAACUUGAGCAAGAUGCAAAUUCAUUACAAAACACCACAUUUCUGUCUCAAAUUCAUCGUUAACUUUCACAUACUUUAGAUAUUGACGCAAACUUCCUUUCCUUCUACGAUGAUCAUAAGUCAAAUUUUAAGUCGAUCACCUAGGACCAACAUAAUGACACUUGCUUAUUUCCCAUAUAUACUUUUUACAGCUCUCAUCUACAGGAAGCAAACAUGACGAGAUAGAUUUCGAAUUCUUAGGAAACGUUUCUGGACAACCUUACAUUAUCCACACAAACAUCUAUACACAAGGAAAUGGAAGCAGAGAGCAGCAGUUUUACCUCUGGUUUGAUCCAACAGCUGAUUUUCACAACUACACCAUACAUUGGAACCCAACCACAGUUGUGUAAGUAUCUUAUGCGGACUUUCUUUCUGUAUACAUGAUCUUUCUGUGUUGUACCAGAGACCAUUGACAUGCUUAUAUGCUGCUUUGGUGCUACCACAACCUAUAAAAACACUAUGGUCUCACUACCAUUCACUAUAUUCUUAUUACUGGCAAAAGUCGUGGGACCAAUUACCAACUUCCUAACCUUUAAUUUCACUUCUAUGAUUUUAGGUGGUACAUCGAUGGACUGCCAAUUCGUGUAUUCAGAAACUACGAAAACGAGGGCAUUGCUUACCCCAGCAAGCAAGGGAUGAGGGUUUACUCCAGCUUAUGGAACGCAGAUAACUGGGCAACCAGAGGCGGACUAGUCAAAAUCGACUGGACCAGCGCCCCAUUCAUAGCUAGAUUGCGCAAUUUCAGAGCGAGAGCUUGCAAGUGGGAUGGACCGAGCAGUAUCACGCAAUGCGCCGCAGCUACUCCUGCAAACUGGUGGACAUCUCCUAUAUACAAGCAGCUGAGCAAUGCUAAGUUAGGCCAGCUGAAAUGGGUUAGAGACAACCACAUGAUCUACGACUACUGCAAAGACACUAAACGAUUCAACGGAAACAUGCCUGUGGAAUGCUCCAAACAACAAUUCUAAUCCCAACCUAAGACAAACAACCAAGCCAUCGCAACAAAGCUAAAGAUCCUGCAUCAGUUUUCUCAACUGCCAGUUCACAACUCAAAAAUAAUAAAUGUUCUUGUGGUUUCAUAUGUUUUUGUUUUCAACCUUGUCAUUUAUUCAUUCGUUCCCAUUUCUCUAAUUUCCGUUUUUUUCAUUCUACUAAUAAAAAAGUUCUCUUAACUUUUCCCUUUCAUUUCUCAUAGCCAAAGGCUCAAAGCUAGAACAAAAGAUAAGAAUAAAUUUCAAAGGGAGCUGUAUCCCGAGUUCCCAACAGAUAGCAGUUACUUCCCACACCUUCUCUUUACGUGCCUCUAUACGUGCAAAAAAAAAAAAAAAAAAAAGAAGCAUGUUUCCCCAAAACUGCUUAAAACUGUUAAAUGGUAAUCACGCACCCUCUCAAAAUCUCAUACAUUUUUAUCGACAAAGCUCUAAAAGUUGUGAUUGCACAGAAGAAAUUCAAGGUCAUGCUCGAGAUAACUUUUUCCUUAACAAUUGAUUUCAAUCUACCUCCUUUGUGGUUAGUUGUAGGUGUUUGUCCCAGGUGUUGGUUCAAAGAAAAACGUACGUGGAGGGAGGAAGAGAAAUUAAUGAAAGCUAUCCAAAUCUGUUCAAUUUGUUAAUUUGAGUAAGGUAUCUUAUUUCAUGUAGGUGGUUGUUCGUAAGCACGUUGUCAUUGUCCCUCAUUGUCCUUAUUGCAACUCAUAUUCAUUUCGAUUAAUUUCAAGUAUAUUCAUUCCUUAUGAUUGUAUGCGUAAUCCAAAAUAGGUAGGUGCUGAGGGCAGGAUCUGUACGUGUUCUUUAGUCAUCUCAUUUAGUUUUGUCUGAGCAACUUUUACAGUUCUUCGACCCAAUCCUAAUCAGGUAUAUAUAUUGUAGUUUUGAGUUUUACCUUUCUGAUGGCUUCGUUCAACCAAGUCCCACUAUAUUCGAGAACACACCAUGAGUCACCAUAUCAACCAACAACUAAUACAAAGAUUAAAGUACCUUCUCAAAAAAGAAAAAGAAAAAAAAGAUUGAAGCAUAUAAACAAAAGAUUUAAAAGGUCAAAAACUAAAAGUGAAAAGUUAUUUCCUUUUGUUUGUAGGAUGGCUUUCGAAUAUAUGUAACUAGAACAAUACUCUCUCCUACAAACAUGUUUAACACCUCAUCGCCUUCUUUUGUGAUGUGGAAUAGCGAAUUCACAUCAUCUAAGGUGAUCUCAACUUCAUUCUCGUCAAAGAUGAACUUGUUGCUCUUAGUGUUGUAGUGCCUCAUUAUAAGUUCGAAAUCCAACUCAUGCUUAUUUAAUUGCAUCUCACUCAGCUUUUCUUGUUUGAAUGCAUCAAUCAUAUUAAAAGUUUGUUUGGCUAAGUAAAUCUCAUGCUUCUUGAGGGAGUUACUUAUUGUAUUUUUCCAUCAUUAUUAAAAAUGAAUGCAGUGUACACUUUUGUUGCUUGACAUCUAUCAGCAUCUUCACCUCUUCGUCGUCGUCAUCAUCUUCUUCUUCUUCUUCUUCUUCUUCUUCUUCUUCUUCUUCUUCUUCUUCUUCUUCUUCUUCUUCUUCUUCUUCUUCUUUACUUCUUUCUACUUGUUACUUACGUAACUUAAGGUUUUGUUUUUACGAACCUUACGUUUUCCUUUUUUAACCGUUUCGGUUCGUUUUACCUUUCCUUUACCGUUUACCCGGUUUUUUACCCGUUUUUUUCCCCCCCCGGUCCCCCCCCCCCCCCCCCUUCCUUUGUUUUUCUUUUCUUAUCUGCUGUCCCUUCCUCGAUAUAGUAUUGUUUAAUUGUUUUUUAUUCAAUCUCUGUCUUCCUCAUCAUCAGUAUUCCAAUGAUGAUGUGAUAGUUAAUAUAUGAAUAAAAUCGUCAAAACUUAAUGAUAAUGCAUGUACUUCAAAAACAUUUUCGGAAAUAUCACUAGAAUGAGAGAGCUUCAAUUAUUUAGGAAACUGUUUCAAUAAAACUGUUUUUUUUUUAUCGGAUUAAGGCCAUAUUUGGUACAACUUAGCUUUUUAACGAUAAUAAGAUUUUAUUUGAACUAUUAAAGUUAAUAGUAUUUGAUAAACUAAAGAAAAAAACUUUUAACGAAAAUCAGCUUUUAUCUGAACUAUUAAAGUUAAUAGUGUUUGAUAAACUAAAAAAACAAUUUUUUAAAUUACAGGUCACCGGUAGCAAAUGAUUUAGAACAAAACCAAAUAAUUUAGAACUAAAAUGGAAAUAAAUUACGUUAAUAUUUUAUUAGGAUUUUUUUAUUGCUAUAGAUUAUAUAGAAAAUUAAAAUGUAGGAUGAAAUGAGCAUGUAGGAUGAACAAAGAAGAUGAGUAAGGUGGAAAUAGCCGCACUCUAAAUAUUUUGCUAGCUAUGAAGUCAACAUGUGUCUUGCCGAUGCAAUAGAUAUUAUUGUAUGUUGUUUACUCGUAGCUGGGUGUUUUAACCCAUACACCGGAGGACCCAUAAAGGGUAAUACAUCUCAAUCAUUCUUUUUCGUUCUUAAAUUACAUCUCUCUAUUUAAUCGCUCAACGUAACUAUAUAAUGUAAAUCAGUAACUAUAAUAUCAUAUAUUUUUUUUCAACGUUAUUUAUAUAUAUGUGAAAUACCAUAUUUCCAAAGCUCUUAUUUACAGUUGUUUCUUUGUGUUUUCAUGCAGUUUUUCAUGUGGUAAAAGAUGAAUGCCGACUGCUAUGCAAGAAAGAUGCGUUAACUGCUUAUUAAGAAUAUUAUGAUUUUAUCAGUCAUUUGGCAGUCCUUUUUAUGUUUGUUCCAAGGGAUGGUUGCGAACAAUAUUUUUUUUUUAAUAAAAAAGUAUAAAGAUUUUUUUGGUACGUUUAAUCAACCUCUUUCCUUUUAUUAACGAAAACCAUGUUGCUGAACUGUAUUCAGUAUUCUUCUAUGAGGAGGCAAAAUUAUUACUAAUUUUAUCAAUUCUAACUUAUUGAUCCCGUAUGUAAUUUUAGUAGCCAAACUAUAAUUUAUUUCACAUUAUGAUCAAGUUUAAGCAAAAAUGUUCAACUUCGUUAAACACAAAAGAAGUAGGAAAUCAUGCGCAUGAUUAAGCACUUAUAUUCUUAGUUCACAACUCUCUCAUCACAAGCUUGAAUAGUCUUUUGACACCCUAGAAAACAUUUACUCAUUGAUCAAGCCUCAUGUUCUCCAACCAAAUAACUCAUUAAAACUUCUUUGAAUAAAAGUUCUAUUGAAAAAGUGAUUAGAGUUUAACUUACAAAUCUAUGAAAAUUCAGCAAACUAGCUAAAUAAAUAGAAUAGACAUACUACGAGAUUCUUCUCAGCCCUAGCUUAGAAGUUUAAAAAACCCUAAUAAGAGAAAUCAUGAAAACAUAUAAUAUAAGAGUAGUGGAAACUUUAGUCGAUGAUGAGCUUCUCUUCGCCACGAAAAUAAUUUGCCUCCUCUCAUAUAUGUAUAUAUGUAGGGUCCUUCCACUAAAUGAUCCAUUUUUAGACAUAUAUGAGGGAUACGGGCACCAACGUUUUGAUUGAAUUUUUGCAUCUUCAUUGUUCAGUUUGUAAGUGCUAAUAUAUAGAUUAGUUAUAUAAAUUUUCAGCAAAUUUAGUGAUCAUUAAAGUGUCAAAAAAGAUUAAAUUAAUUGACGAACCAAAUCUGUCAAACCUGAACCGUUCAUGCUUAUAACUUUGAAUCGAAGUUUUGAAUGCUCUAACGAUAAUCAAUUUGUUAUGCUAGAAGAAUGAACUAUUUGACGAACUAUUUUCGAAACAAAACAAAUAGUUUCAAAUAUGUUCAUUCUUGUCGCAUAUGCUAGCAAAUGAACUAUUUUCGUUUGGUUGUUAGUGAUCUUCCUGUAGGGUAAUAUCAUGUGUUAGCCUUGCCCUAAAUAAAAAAUAAUAAUAAGAAAAAAUAAAAGAAGUAAAAACAGAAAAAAUGCUGCUUACACCAAGGUUUGAACUAAGGAGAAAAGGAGGACAGAAUAAAAACAUGCCUAUAGCCACUACACCAAGUUGAAACAUAUAGAACGUAUAUUAGAUUUGUGGUAACCUUACUGGGUACUGGCUCCGUCCUUAGCUAGAACGGCAGUCCUCCUCACGCCGUAACCAUCAACAAAACUUGAGAAUACAAGAGAGGGAACACAUACAUGUUCUUGGAAUCAUUCCAAAAAAUAUAUAUAAAAUAGAGGUUCUUGGAAAAUAAACAAAUCAAAUGUAUUAAGUAUUAACCAAAAAAAAGAAACAAUAGCAUGUAUUCCUCUACAGAUAAAUUUGUGUGCAGUGAUUAGUGACAUCCCAUAAUCAGAGUUACUUUUACACAGGUUUGACUCUUUUAUUGACAUCCCAUAAUGUAACAUUGUCAAAUGCUUCCCUUUCAAAAAAAAAAAACAUUGUCAAAUACUUCUCGACUCCCUUCUGGAUUUUGCUGAAAAUGAUCUUACCGGAAAGCUCCCUGAGUAUUUUGGAAGAUUGGAAAGGUGGAAGUGGGAAUGUCAGUCACUUGAAUUCUCUCUUAUCCUGGCUAAUUGUACUAGGCUUGAGGCGUCUGAGUUUUAUCAAUAGUCGUUUUGGAUGAGAAUAACCAGAAUCCAUCAGAAACCUUUCCACCAAACUGAAAGAGUUGUCUGUCGGUACAUGGAAGCAUCCCCUAUCAUCAUUGGAAAUCUUGUAAACUUGACCAAACAGGAACUGGGAGACAACAAUUUGGGUAGUAGUCUCCUAGAAGAAAGUCGGAAGCUUCAGAAGUUGAGAGGGACUGCUAUUGAACCUAAACAAAUUUUCUGGGCCAAACAGCUUUUCUACAAUUCAAAUCAUAUUAAGAAUCCAAGCCAAUAUAUGCCUCGCUGCACAUCAAAUAGACACUAGACAGUACCAUACGAGACUAGUAUACUGUCAUAUAAAACACUUUUUCCACUUAAGUCACUAAAAAUUCCAAAUCUAGAUAUUUAGUUCCUAUACAUGGAAUUGGCAUAAUAUGUCACGAAAUCUGGAUUCAAAAUUACCUUGCAAGUUCUAUAAACAAAACGGUGAACAACACAAUAAGCGCUAAUUUGCAUCACCCAACCAGAAAAAAAAACUCACUUAAAAUGCAAUUGAAGAAAGCUUCAUAGCCUGGGAAAUUUUGAUACACACCAAAUAAGCAAAUUGAUGAAAUGAGCCCACAAACCUAAGGAAGGACGGACCAUAACACACAUCGGCAAAAUCAGUAGUCUUUUGAGCACUUGUUUGCCCAACUAGACAUGAGUCUGCAAAUGUUUGAACUUCUUUAUUAGAGUACUAAGCCAAUUAACAUGAGUCUGCAAAUGUUUCAACUUCCAGGUUAUGCAAAUGUUUCAACCAUUUCCAAAUGAGCUACUAAAUUUUCGCAAAACGUGAAAACAAUGAUGCAGAUUACUAUUUUCCAUUAACAUGUAUAAAUAUUGCAUAUCAAAUAUAAAUAAACACAACUAAGCCAAUUAUCUAAUCAAAAUACUCAAUAUUAUUCCAGACUCGGAAAUCAUUAUAGUAAAACAAAGUAGACAAGAAACCAACCAUACAUUUCCACCGCACUUCACAACAUGCUCAAUAAGUUCAUCAUUUCAAAUGCUAUCCCUAUAUAACAUGACUCCUAUUACAACAUCAAAGUCUCACCAUUCAGAUUUGGCUUGCCGUGCAUCAAGUGGCAGACGUUGACCGAGCAAUUACCGGAUGAUGAGCGCCUCUGAUAUGCUUUUAUCGGCCAAUCUCAAGCAUCUAAAGCAUAUAUCCUGACGUCCGCACCGCCUAAUACAGAAUGAACACCUCUGAACAAUAAUCCCAAACAGAAACAUAUUCAAUUUUGAAACAAAACAGACUAUAGUAUUCUUCAUCUCCCAAAUAAACGCUAUACAGUACUAAAGUAUCAAUCCCUUCACACUAACUACGUAUUACGCUUUUGUCUGAGACCAAGUAUUCUUCAUAUUCAGCAAUUAAAAGCCAUAAUGAAAAGGGAACUCUGUCAUAGUGCUUUUAACAAAUUUAAACCAGAGAUGAGGUAAAGAAACUACGUAUACUAAGUUUAUGAGAAACAUAUAAUAAAUACUAGCCAGACUAUUUACCUCAAUGUCAAAAUCAUGUAUCUGAGUAUAUUACAAGAACAAAAGCUGUGUCGUACCCUUUUUUUUUUUUUUUUUUUUUUUUUUUGCUUUUUCAGAAGAGGUAUUGCAAUUAGAAAUUAACAAGUACCCUGCGUUUAGAAUGACAUCCCUUAGAAAUUUGAGCAAUAAAAAGACCUUGUUGUGCUAAUGCUGUGUGCUAUUUUAUUUGCUUCUCGAGGAGAAAAGAGUACUUUGAACUCCUCAUAGUUGUGCAUGAGAGCUUUAAUAUCUUCAAGAAUGGAACUGAGCACGGACAUGUCUUCUUUUUCUUGGUGUACAGCAGUUGCCAACACUGAAAAAUCAGUUUCGGAUACCACCUUAUUAUUAUUCAUUCCCACUGCCAUUUGUAUUCCUUCCAAGUGAAGCUAAUGCUUCUGGAUGUAGUGGGGAGGUUACUGAUAGCAAUGGUCUACAAGCUGCAGCCUUUGCUCAUCCAUCUACAUAAGAUUAUAUUGUUGUCUGAGAAAAAUCACAAAAUGUACAGAAAGAUGCUGCCCAAAUCAAAAGAUUGAAAUGAUUUAAACAAGAAACCCUCCUAGCAUAUCCUCUUGGUUAUACCAUUAAAUUCAUUUCUCAAUGAACUGCUUCACUUGAGGAUCCUUCACAUUACUCAGUGCAGCCGGCAUCACACCAGAUAUAACCUUCUUGUAUAUCUGCGCAGGACUUCGGCACUCCUUAUAAGGGUACUCACAAGUCACCAUUUCCAGCAAGCACAGCCCAAAAGAAUAGAUAUCCACCAGCUCAUUAUAAAUCCUAUUCAUACAUCUCCAGCACUAUAAACUCUGGCGUGCCAAUCACUCCAUACUCAGAACUACUACUCUGCUCAUGCAUCACCAAUGUAAACCCGAAAUCCCCAAUCUUCACCUCUCCAUUGAAACCAUUAAUAAACACAUUGUCAUACUUCAAAUCCCUAUGAACAAUAGUAGGGUCAUGAGAAUGCAGAUAGAUUAAGCCCUUGAGAAUCUGCCGUGCUCAUUUCUUCAUGGCCUUGACUUCAACAUGGGUGUGCUUCUUUCGAUACUGCUUCAAGCUCCUGGAAGUGAACAACUCCAUGAUCAUAUUCACAGUCCUCCUCCUCUACUUCUUACCAUUAUCACCAUCUUCCGAGACCCACCAGCUGAAAAGCUUGAUGAUCUUACCAUGUUUUAGAGACUUGAGCCAAUUAAUCUCCGAAAAAAACAAGCGCUGAAGCUCAGCAUCGUCCGCAGGCUUGACUUUGCUCCAGGCCACUUCAAUCCCUUCUUCCUCAUCAAAAGCCUCUAAAACUGACUUUAUGGCAAACAUCACCAAAGUUUAACCUGUUAAACGUCUAACUGCAAUCUCAGCUUCUGCAGCGGUCAGCCUCUGUAGAGAUAUGGUGUUAGCUUAAUUUGAGGUCUUUAACUUCACUCAUUAAAGGUUUGUCAAGAAAGAGACUACCUCCAAGAAUCAACAGAAGCACUUCCUGAUCUCAACCUUUCAAAACCUCACAUGCAGAUAUAUAAACCGCACCUAAUCCGUUAUCUGCAGCCACAAUCCACAAGUAAUUCAUGCAAUCAGAUAAAUAUAUGAGAAGUAAAUGAGCUGACUAGGCAGACCUGUUUUGAUUGACGGAAACCACUGGUAAAUCUAUAGCCAGAAUUCUGCAGCUUGCAAUUUAAAGAUUAUCAAAACUAUUAACUUACCAUUGUAACUUCUUAAGACAAAACUAAAAUGCAGACUUUAAUUGAAACUAGACAAGCAAUAAUAAGAAGACGUAAGAUUUAGAAGCUUGAGGUUCUAUCUUUAUUCGUUUGUCUUUUACUUAUUUCCCUUUUUAUGUGCUUCAAACAAGAGGCAAGAGUGAAUAAUUGUUUGCUCAUCAAGCACAUUAUAAGCUCUAACCUCUCAGUCUGGUAUAUCUCCUUAAGCAUUGGACCUAUCUUAUUAAACCAUGAAUGAUAUCCACCUAUCUUAUUAAACCAUGAAUGAUAUCCUUUUGCACAGCAUGCACUGAAAAUACCACGAAGUGUGUACAAGUGUGUCUGUUUGUGUGUGCGCUUUCUUUUGUUUUUUUGUUUUUAUUUUAUUUUAAGAAUAUGAUAAAAAUCAAAAUCAAGAAAUAAAACAAAAAAUACAGACAUCUUAGAAACAAUUCCAAUGUGUGCAACUUAAAACAAUUACAGUAUAUAAGGAAACUCAAUCAUUUUAUUUAAACAGUGAACCAGAAAAGAUUACACAAUAACUGUCCAGAAAACAUCAAUCAUUACCUCUGGUAUUGCCAGCCUACCCUGGUCUUAUUAUGUCAGUUCUUCUCAUCCUUCUCAGAAGUCAUAGUAUGAAUUGGAAAUCAUUAUACCCUUCCUUGCCAGAAAUCCAGCAUCUACCAUCAAUUUCUGCAUGUAUAAGGUUAAUAGGCCCUCAGACCUUGUUUUAAAUCUCCAUCCAGCUAAAUUCAGGAUCUUUUGUGAUCCCUUUAGCUUUCAUGUAUUUCCUCAUCAUUCUCACUUUAUCCCACUUCCGUAGAUCUGCGUAUACAUUCAAUACCUAAACAUGAUACCCCGUAUCAUGAGAAAUAAAUUCAACUAUCUGCUCUCAGACACGUCCAGCUAUCUUUUCUUCACCAGUUCCUCAGCAAGCACUAAGUAAAGAUCCCCAAUACUUGUAUCUGCUUUACAUGUUUGAUAAAAGAAGAUGGUCAGAUAGAUUAUUUACUGCCAUGCCAAAUUCAUGUAUCCGAGUAUAUUGCAGCAACAUAAGUUGUGUCGAGCUACAUAUGAUGAUUAAAUUGUUGUCUAAGAAAAGUCAUAAAUUUUACACAAAGCAGCUGCCCAUUGCCCAAAUCCAAAAAAUUAUAAUGAAUUUAAACAAGAGGUACUUAAAAUCAGUCUGGUAAAUCUACUUCAAACACACAGGACCUAUCUUAUUAUACCAUGAGUUCAUGACUGAUAACCUUUUGCACAGCAUGCACUGAAAAUACCACAAAAGUGUGUAUAAAUAUUGAACUUUUAUGAGUGUGUGUUUGGGCGCAUGUGCACCCUUUUUUUUUUUGAAGAAUAGGGUAAAAAUCAGAAUCAAGAAAUAAAUAAAAAAGUACAAUCAUCUUUAAUGUGUUCGAUUUGAGACAUAUAUGCAGAAGAAUAUUUCUUUUAGAAUUUGGCAGAUUUUCAAUAUAAAAGGAAACUCUAACCAGAUAAGAUUUCACACUAACUGUCCACAAAACAUCAAUAACUACCUGAUAUGGCCAGCGUAUACUUGAUCUUAUAAUGUCAGUUCUUCUCAUAUCCUUCGUAGAAGUCAUACUAUGAAUUGGAAAUAAUCAUACCCUUCCUUGCCAGAAAUCCAGCAACUACCACAGACAACUUAUCAACAUCUAAUGUAUAAGGUUAAGAGGACCUCAGAUCUUCUAUUAAAUCUCCAUCCAGCUAAAUGCAGGAUCUUUUUUGAGCCCUUUAGCUUUCAUGUAUUUCCUCAUCAUUCUCACUUUAUCCCACUUACCUAGAGCUGCGUAUACAUUCGAUACCAAAACAUGAUACCCUGUGUCAUAAGAAUUAAAUUCAACUAUCUGCUCUGAGACACGUCCGGCCAUCUCUUCUUCACCAGCUUCACGGCAAGCACUAAGUAAAGAUCCCCAGAUACUUGCAUCUGCCUUUAUUGGCAUUGAAUGGAUAAAGUUCUCGGCUUGAACUAAUAGCCCAGAGCGGGAUAGGAGGUCAACUACACAUGCAUAGUGCUCCAUCUGAGGCUCAAGAUUGUAGUGUUUCUUCAUCCGAUCGAAGUAAGCCAGACCCUGUUCUACCAAACCUGAAUGGCUACAUGCAUAUAUGAUGGCCAGAAAAGCUAGAUGAUCAGGAAGAACACCAGUGGCUUCCAUUUUUUGAAAAGCUAUCAAUGCUUUCUCACCUUCUCCGUAUGUCCCAUAUGCAGAGAUCAACGAAGUCCAUGUCACCACAUCCUUUAUACACAUUUGCUCAAAUACUCGUAUGGAAGUUUCCAAGCUACCACAACUAGAGUACAUUUCUAUUAGUGCAUUCCCAACCGGAACAUCUGAAUGAUAUCCUAACCUGAAAAUGCAGCCAUGGAUCUCUUGUCCUUUUCGCUUGGCAGCAAGUAAGGAACACACUGGUAAAAUACCUAACAUUGUGGCCACAUCAAGCAUCACUCCCUCAUUUCUCAUUCUAAGAACCAUUCUUAAACCUAAACUACAGUCUUCAUUGUGAAAGCAUGCAGAAAUUAUACUAUUCCAUGUUACAAUAUCACGAGCUGUCAUGCUGUCAAAUACUUUUAGUGCAUCUUGUAGUUUACCACAUUUAGCAUACAAAUCAACAAGAACAUUGUUGACAACAAUAUCUGAAUCAAAUCCCAGUUUCACUAUAUCACAGUGGAUCAUUUUCCCCUGGUCCACCUGUCCGAGUUGAGUAUACAUAGACAGGAUCAUCACGCAACUCACAGAAUCAGGUUUCUCGUUAUUUCGCAUCAUCUUAAAGAGAUUAAACCCUUCAUCAAAACAGCCAUUAAGAAAAUAACCAUUGAUCAUAGAAUUCCACGACACUGAAUCUCUGCAUUCCAUAUAGUCAAAUACUUCCCGUGAAGCUAACAGACUUCCGCAUUUUGCAUGCAUAUCAAUAGCUAUAUUAUUCGCCAUUGUAUCAAACUCAAAACCACUUCUUUUCAUGUAGCCAUGAACAUAUUUUGCCAGUCCCAAGUCCCGUAAAUGUGAACAAGCACGGAGCACAGAUGUAAUCGUUAGCAAAUCAGGCGUGAAUUCCUUUAUCAUUUCCCUGAACAAACUGAUCGCCUCAUCAAAUAAACACAAUUGCAAGUACCCACAAACCACAGUAUUCCAACUAACACAGUCCCUAACUACCAUCCCCUCAAAAAAAAUUCGAGCAUCUCUACACCAACCAAAUUUAAAGUACAUUGCAAGAAUCCCAUUACUUACUAAAACAUCUGCAUUCACCCCAAUCUUCUCAACCAGACCAUGAACUAGCCUACCCUCUUUCACAUCCACCAGGCUUCCACACGCAGGUAGGACACUGGAUAUCGAAAAACAAUCUGGUACCAACCCCUCCAUUCUCAAUCUCCAAAACAUCUCCAAAGCUUCCUCCCAAUAUCCAUUCGAACUGUACCCCGAUAUCAAACUAUUCCACGACACAACAUCUCUCUCACGCAUUUCAUCAAACACCUGGCGUGCAUGACCAAGCUCACCAAGUCUUGCGUACAUGUCAAUUAAAGCAUUGCAUACAUACAAGUCUGUACCAAACCCGGUCUCCGAAACACGGCGGUGGAUAACCAGCCCCAUUUCCAGAUCACACAGAGCGGCGCAGGCGUUGAUCACUGAAGGGAAGGUGUGGCUAUCGGGGCGGACAUUGGUGUGAAGCAUUGCGUUGUAGUGGCGGAGAGCUUCGGAGUGGAGGCCAUUAUGGGUGAGGGCUCUGAUGAUUGAAUUCCAGAGAUAGGGGCUGUGUUUGGGGCGGAAAUGGCGGAAAACUGAGAGGGAAGAAGAGGGGUGUUUGAGAUUGGAGUAUUUGGAUAUGAGUUUGCCGGAGAAGAAGAGGGAGUGGUGUAAUCCUAGGGUGAUUAGGAGUGAGUGGAGCUUGUGUAGUUGGGUCUUGGUUUUAGUUGAAGACAGGGUUUUUGAGAACAAGGAAUAGAGAGCCUGUUUGGUAAGACCAUAGAAGCUGCUUACGUUUGUUGUUCUCAUUUCAAAGUAGCAAAACCAAUCUGCCCUGAUUGUAAUAUAGGUUUUCCCUCUCUUUUUUCUCUUCCGAAAACGAUGUCGUUUAUAGGAAUGCGAAAGCUGACAUUGGUUUGUAAAUGUGAAGUCCAGUAAUUUGUGUAGUUUAGCCAACAACUUGCCAUUAAACAAAUGAGAAAGUAUAAAUUUUAGUGGACUUGAAGUUGUAUUUCAAUUACCAGAGUAAAAGCUAUGCAAUGCAAUGACCAAAGUAAAGGCACCAGAGACCAUUUCCUUUAUAGCCAUCAACGCAUACUUCCCAGAGUCUUCUUAUAUGUGUACCACUUGGAAAUUAACAAAAAAGCUCCUAGGUUCAGAACACUCAGCACUGCCAAAAAACAGAAGAAAUAAUCGAGGUGACCAUAGUUCAAAUUGUCCGGAAGCCAUCCCGCCUUAUUGUUCUUUGUAGUCACGUUGGCAACAAUGGUGACAAGCAGAGAGUUGAAGUAGUUUCCUAAUGCGACAGUGGAGAGUGCGAGAGCAGAACUCAAGCUUCUCAUGGCAUCAGGUGCUUGAUCGUAGAAAAAGUCAACCUGUCCAAUGACUGUGAAGACUUCUGCAGCACCUAUUAGGAAAUACUGAGGCACUUGCCAAAAAACAGACAUGGGCAUAUGCUCAAGGUCAUAAUAGUUGUGCUCUCGAACCUUUUGGAGUCUGAUAUGUUCUAGAAUUGCAGCACAUAUCAUGGAGAAUAUGGAAAUGAAGAGACCAAUGCCCAUCCUCUGGAGUGAAGUUAUCCCAUUCUUGUGACCUGUGAAUUUUCUGCUAAAUGGGACAAUGAGUCGAUCAUAGAUGGGGAUCCAAAUAAUGACACUAAGGGUGUCGAAUACAGAGAGGCAGGCUGCUGGAAUUUCAAAGCUAGAGGAGCCAACAUGAAGAUCCAUAAGGCUGCCUUGCAACACAAAGAAGUUGCCCAUCUGACUAAAGACCGCAGCAAAGAUAAUACCAGUGGCCCAAACAGGAAGCAGCCUUAUGAUUGAUUUUAGCUCCUCUACUUGGGUAACUGUACAUAGUCUCCAAGGGUUUUUGAAGCCCUUUAUAUUAUCUGUUGGUAGCUCCACAACUGCUUUGUCAAAAAACCUGAACAGCAAAAAUACAAAUCAAUACAGCACCAAAGUAAAUAGCUUGAUUGCUGAUCUCAACUAACCCUUCGUCUCAAUUGUGAGUUUCUUAAAAAAAACAUUGAUCAUGCAUAUCAUCCAACAAUGAAAGAUUUACAAUUUAGAAACAAACCUAAACUCAUUUGUGUGUUCAAGCUUGCGGCUUCCUUUGAUAGCAGACUCUGCAUCUGCAGUCUCAUAGAAAACGGACUUGUCUUCAGGUACUUUCACCUUGUAUUUUCUCACAGAUGCUACCACCACCUGAACUAUUCGAGUUAUCGGGCUACCUCCUGGCUUCUGGUUCCUGUAUAACCUAGUACCCAAAAAGAAACUCACUACAGCAAUUGCCAUGGCAACUGCUGGUAUGCCAAAACCCCAUUCCCAACCCUUGUUGGUCUGUAUCCACACCAGCAAUGAACUAGCAAUCAAAGCCCCAACAUUGACGACAAAAUAGAACCAGUUGAAAAAAGAACUCUUGUGCUUCUUUUCAACCUCAUCAUCCUCGUCAAACUGGUCUGCUCCAUAAGCUGAGACACAAGGCUUAAUCCCACCAGUUGCCAAAGCUAUUAGGUAAAGUGCCACGUAGCAGGCUGCAGAUUGUCCAGGAGUCACAUAGCAGUCAUCUUCCAAAACACAGGUAGGUUUCAGGCCUGGAACUGAUGUUGACAUUGUCAAGAGAGCCAUCCCCUAUGCAGAUAAUAGCAGAACUCAUGAGUUUUAUAAGAGGGAGAAUACCAACCAAAAGGAACUCCAUAAACCAGAUAGUUUCCAAUUUCCAAACUAGCAUCAUUUGCAACAUUCAAGACUAUUAACCCCUAUUUUGGCAGUCUUAAGGAUGUAACCAUUAUGUUGAGCUCUCACAUAAUUUGAAUAGCGCUUAAUAUGCAUCAAGCAGUUGUCGAACCGCAUUGAGUGUUGCUCGAAUACCUAUUGUGCAGGACUUGAACCCCAACUCUGGUUCAAAAUCUAAAUGUCUAAAAUAGAACUAUAAUUCUUUGAAGGAUGUUUUGCUAUUUUUCAACAAUAAGGGUCACAUUUCAGAAUUUUGGUACAAGCUAAUCAAGCACAAGGUGGAAUUGGGAAUCAAUUCAUAAGCAAACUAGAAAUUUCCAGAACAACGUCCCCACUAUUAAGUGUUCAUUACAAGUCAAACAUGUUGCUUCAUCAAGUAUAUGAAAUACGUAGUAAAGGCAAAGAAUUAGAAACUUACAAUGACGUAGAUGAUUGUGAAAGAGGCAAUGGUCUUGUAUCUUCCCAAAUAGGCAUCAGCUAGAAAUGCACCAAUCAAAGGGGUGAGGUAGCAUGUUCCAGUCCAAUUGGAGAUACUUUUAGCUGCAGCAGCACUGCUCUGGUGUAGAUGAUUCUUGAAAUAAAGCACCAGAUUUGCACUCAGCCCAUAGAAUGCCAAUCUUUCACAGAACUCAUUACCUAUUGAAAUAUCAAUCAAACCCAGAAAAAUUGAAGUAUCUUGAACACAAGGGCAGGGCCUAGAAUAUAAAGGAUCAGUCUUAAAUUAGUACCUAGAAUAAAAGGGCAGGCCUUCCAGGUUCCUGUGACAUUUUUGUUAGCUGGGUUCCCUCUGUAGUCCACUGUCCCAUCUUUGGUGUAUAAAUCAUCUUCUGCAAUGGGUCCUUCAACUCUCCCACCUUGCAAGUAUACAUAGUCUUCUGCCAUGGCUUUUAGACUCCUUCAAGCACUAAAACUCUAAAACCCUUCUCAAACUCCCAGAAACUGAAAUUAAAGAGAGAAUAGAGAGUGAGAUGCAGCCAAUUAGUUUUGUCAGUCUCUAAAGCCGGUGGAAACUCAAAAUGAGAAGACAUUGAUUCCUCAAUGAUCUGUUAUUCGCUCGUCACCAAGAAAUAACGGAGAAGCGUCCAAGUUCUACAACUAUUGUACACUUUGUAUAUUACAAACUGAAUCUGCACGUGCGCGAUUAAUGAUUUAAUUAACUUAAUUUCAUUUUAAAAAUAUAAAUAAAUAAAACUAAAAAUACAUACUGGACAUCCUUACUUUAAAAAUUUAAAGAAGUUCUCUCUAAAUUCAGACUAUAUAUAUAUAUAUUGGUAAUUUGCUUUAUUUUUUUAGAAAACAUAGAUCAUAGAUGAAUAAUUCUAGUUUGCGAUACAUUUGAAAACUGAAUAAUACAUGCAAGCUAAAUAUAUGUUGUCUGGCUAAUUAUCAGGACGACAACCAUAAUUACACUCUUUUUCAGUAUCAAAGCACCUUAUCUUGCCCGGGAGAUAACAACACCAGUAGCAACCUCCUUGUGGAUUACAUUUUGGAUCGCAAACAUGAAUUUUGAUGUCUUUAUAAUAAAGAGGAUAAGCUCUCGAAAAUUUACUAGCAUGUAUCUCUAUGCUGCUAGUGUUAGCAUCCCCAUCAUUGCACUGAGUAAGAACCAAGAGAGUUAGGAAGACGAAUGAAAAGAUAGCCAACUCCAAUUUCAUAGAUUUACUGGUCGCCAUGAUCUGUGUGUGUGAGAGAGAAAGAUUUGAUUGAACUAUAUAUAUUUGGUGAUUUGUAUAAAUAUAUAGAAGCUAGGUAUCAAUUUGGUUGAGCUUAUCAUUGAUAGAAGGAAAGACUUUAAUUAAAAUGAAAGGUGAUUGCCUUUCAAAAAAAAAAAAAAUUGUAGGUGAUUGUGAUUGUGAUCGCCAGUAUCAACAAAGUAAGAAAACUUACAAGAUUACAUAAUGGGAUUCAGACUGAAUGCCAUGAUUCAGUGUAGUAUUAAUAAAGUAACUUUUUUUGUUUUUGGUUACAAUUUUCUUUUUCUUUGAAAUCAGAGUAAAUGACUACAAUGUAUAAAUGUGGCUAAUUAUGAAGACGAUCUUGCCUGCUGAAGCCAGAUAUUACCUUUUCGGAUCCGGAUCCUCUCCUAAUAAACCUCUGCUAAUACUUCCUAAUAAGAAGAUCUGGACCGUUCAUUUUCAAUAGACGGUCAAGAUCUCUCAUACUCUUAACUCAAGGCUAUCUCUCAUCUAUUCUUUUAUUUCUGUCUCGAUCAAAUUCUCGUCUCAUUCUCUCUCUCUCUCUUCCGUCCCGGAAAUCGAUCUCGCCUCUGUCCGGACCUCUUCCCAACCUCCGGCUCCGGCAUCCUCCACGCAGAAGACCCAUUUGCUCUCUUUGACUCUUCUGAUUACCGGUAGCUUGAAUUGUGUAACAUCAACAGUUGGCCAAAGUGGGACUGUGUUUCGUCUCCAGAAAACUCGUUUUGAAUUGCGUUUUGAAGGCACGAGCACGUUGACAAUUAUUCUGGUGAUUGAGAGUUUUGUUGUUACUUCUGUUUUCGGCAGCAUAUUUCUGUGACAUGUGUGUUGGUGCAAUUGCGUGCCAGCUUGAGAUGAAUGAAGGUGGGGUUGUCUGUACAUCAUGACAUUGAUUUGGAGUGUUCUUGAGAAGAAUUUCAGUAUCUAAUUGAUUUGGUGUUGGGAUGUCUAGGAUGUCCAGAAAGACUCAUAAUUCUGAUAUGCAGUAGAAGUUUCUUGGAUUCAAGUUUCUCUGAUCUUUGUCACUUCUCAUUUAUGCUUGAUUAGUCUAGUUAGUACUUACAGACUUGCUAAAUCAUUGGAAGGCCGAGUCAUGUGAGCAUCUGUUAUGUUUCUGCAGACAUGACUGCCUCUUUCCUUUAAAUCAUUGUACCAAGACAUGACUGUUAUUUGAAAUUUUUUGAAGUUAGUGGCACCAAGUUUGCAGCUGAAGCAUGCUUUAGUCGGAAAGUUCCUUGAAACUUGAUAAAAACCAAUUUUGAUAUGUGAGCAUUAGAUAUUGAACUCUGAAUCAUAAAGUGUUCACAAGACAAAAAUCCAGAUUUGGCUACCCUAAUCUACUAAUUCAUAGAAGACAUAGUUAUGUUUUUGGAAUUCAAAAAGGUUUACAAUGGUUAGUUAGUGAUUAUAUCUUAAUUGUGUGGAGUUCAGUAUCAUCUCCACUGAUGCGGAACAUGAAGCAAAAAUAUUAGUAUCUUAAAGAUCCAAAGCCCACAAAAACAAAAAUUAGAAGCUUAAUGUCAUGUACAUGACCUCAUCAAGCCAUAAUCUGGACGUGGUUGGUCAUUGUACUUCAAGAGUUCAAGGCAUCUAGCUGAACAGCUUCUUCUGCGCUAAACUAGAGCACACAAACCAUAUACAGAGAAAUAAGAGGUCUUUUGUUGCAUUCCGUCCAAAGCCAAGGCCCAAGCUUAUCACAUAACCCACACAAACAACCUCAUUUGGAUGGUCACCCGGUCACCCACUACUCGAACCGACCCUUCAACUCAAACCCUACACAACUGAACUCUCCGGCCAUCCCGUUAUGGGCUCGAUUGGGAUUUGAAAAAUCUUCAGAGAAAAGGAGUCCUCAGUCUGGCGAGCUCGCUAGCCAGAUAUAGAGGGCCCAAGCCGCCGUGGAGGACGCCUGAGCCGGAGGUUGAGAAGAAGUCCGGACGGAAGCGAGAUUGAUUUCGGGGACGAGAGAGAGAAUGGGACGAGAAUUUGAUGGAGAGUCUAGACAGAAAUAAGAGAAUAGACGAGAAAUAGCCUUGACUUAAGAGUAUGAGAGAUCUUGGCCGUCUAUUGAAAAUAAACAGUCUAAAUCUUCUUAUUAGGAAGUAUUAGCAGAGGUUUAUUAGGAGAGGAUCCGAAUCCUACCUUUUAUUAAAUUGAGGUUCUAUAAUUGUAAUUUACAUUAACGGUUCUGUUUAGACAUAUUUUGUUUAGUUGAUUCAUUUAAUCUAAUUCGGUACCCAAAUGAUCUCCAAAUUGGAUGAAACUUUGCAAGAACGGUCUACACACUGUGUUCUAGACACUGAAUGGUGGAGAUGUGAAAAUGUGACAUAAAAAUGAGCGAAAUAAGAAGCACCACACUAAUUUCAAAGCGGUGUCCCAUUUUAGAAGGAAACUGUAUAUAUAUAUAUAUAUAUAUAUAUAUAUNNNNNNNNNNNNNNNNNNNNNNNNNNNNNNNNNNNNNNNNNNNNNNNNNNNNNNNNNNNNNNNNNNNNNNNNNNNNNNNNNNNNNNNNNNNNNNNNNNNNNNNNNNNNNNNNNNNNNNNNNNNNNNNNNNNNNNNNNNNNNNNNNNNNNNNNGGACUGAAUUCUGUCCAGUUGUGUUCAUACCAGAAAAACUCGAGUUUAAGGGCCUUAACGAUCACCAAAUUAGCUGAAAUUUUGCAGAGAUGAUCUACACAAUAUUAUUUAGAUACUAUACGGUGGAGAUGAGGAAAUUCGAUCGGAAAGUGGUGCAAAAAUGGAAAUCCGCACCAAAACCGUUGGUGCGGAAGUCCGCAGCCGAGAAGGGCUGUAUAUAUAUAUAUAUAUAUACACACACACAUACAUAACGUUAAAUUAAAUCAUUUUAAGCAUGUCAUUGUUGAAGAUGUUACAAGGUGCUUGUGGGCAACUUAAGGUUCGACAUCAUAUAGGUUGCUCCUCAGUUGGACUCUAUGGUUUUCCAGCCUUUUAUUAGGGAAGCGAAUUUUGUGGCUGGCCAACAUUAGUAAAGGGUGCAUGUAAGAGAUUUGUGUUGUUGUUUUGACCCUUCGAACAAGAAAUUAGGUAAGCAAUAUUUUAGUAUUCCAUCUGGAAAAAAAAAAAAAAAAACCAAAAAAAAACCAACAUUUUAGCAGCAUGAAGACAUGCAUGUCACACAAUUGAUUUAUUAGCAAACUACAAAUUAAUAUCCGACCAAAUUUCAAUUCACAAAAUAGUCAUUUGCAUAAUUUCUUUAACAGUUUAGGACAAAUAUUUGCGUUUUAGUCUUUUUUGUCUUAUAUGAUCUUUUAUUUUUCUGUUUUCUUUGUUUUACCUUCGGUAAUA
rnacentral:lncRNA from 1 species